AAACGAUUGAAGUCAGUCGUGUCUAGUGGUUUCAGCCGGUUCUGCCGGUGUAUUACCAUUAGACGGGUCAACAUCAGUUUUGUGCGGUGGAAAAAGGCGUGAGGAAUGUGGCACCCUCGGGUGUGUUAUAGCCUCGCGUUGCAUACACUGCUUGAGACUGAGGAAUGCAGCUCGCCUUUAUGGCCGGGGUUCGCCCACGUUCGAGCUUAGGAUGUUGACAUAAUGGCUUUAAACGA
rnacentral:rRNA from 1 species